UUUCAAUGCAUCUUAGAACACUGAGUGAAUCUAUAUAAAAAAGACUAAACUCGAAUUCAUUAUUAAUAUAUUCGAGAGCGCAUAUAAGAGCCUGGGCUUCAGCAUCAAAGAUAGAAGAAUGGUUAUUUAUUCGGUUAUAAUGAGUAAGAUCAAAAUAAUAGGAAAUAACGGCGAAUUUCCCUCUUAAAAAAAAAUUUUCGGAAAACAGGAGUCUAGAGCCGUUGGUAGGGGGAAUGGGCUGAUCUGAUGCUUAGGCCGGUGUCUAAAUCCACAGUGCACUUAAAGUAGCGGAUAAAGACAAAAGACUAGAUCAAAAUUAUUGUCUUCGUAAAUGGGGUUUUAAGACUGGAGCUGUUCUCCCAGCGAUGAAUUUAACUGGUGAAACCGAGAGGCAACACGACACACAUACUUGCGUGUUAAGUACCUGUGCCUGCAUAGAAGAGGCUGCUCGUUGAUCAAAUCUAAAAGUACAUUGAGGUGAGGUAACCUAUCAACCCCAGUCCAGGACCAACCGAACCAGUCCCUUAAACGCCAUGGAAAAUAUACUGGAGUGAGCACUUCAUCUUAUUCCAGCGAUGGCUUUGAAUAUAUUAAUGCAAAAAAGUACACGUUUUCGGAUCUCAGUUACAUGUCGCUUUCAGCAACACAAUGAGUAAUCUAAGAGUGCUUUCCAACUACGUACACAGGCGACACUGUGUAACACUGUGUACACUUCGGUGCUUUCCAACUACGACACAAAUUGACGCAAUUAUACACAGCUAAAAUGCUGUGUUCAACUGUGUCACUCCAUGGAUACCAACUUUUUUCGGUUUAUUUUUCUAUGGAAUGCUAUUCUUGUAGACUGUUUUCUGCUGUGCUUUUAAAUUAUAUUCGGAACAGUAUUAAUCAUGGAAGGUAUGUGAUACAUAUUUUUUAAAUUAUUUUAUUAUUUGUUAUAAAAAUGUAAUAAUAAGUAUUGACAUAACUAUUCUCUCGUGUUUUAAUUGAUCUCGUGUCACUUGAUGUCCUUAAAAUAUUAAUCUUCUACAAUUCUGCAAUAUAUUUAUAUUUCAGUAUGCAAUUAAAAAAUAUC